GGCUGGCAUCCCCGAGUCCACUGUUUCGGGGAUUUUCAGGGAUCAGCUCUGUGUUUUUAAUCCCUUCCUCGAGUGGAUUCUCGCAAACGAACGAAAAACCCCACCCCGUUGCAGGUGUGAUGCUGGUGUCCUCAGUUUUUAGGGUGGCGCUGCCCUGUGGGUGGCGGGGCUGAGCGAGGUGGGGGCCGGAGGCCCUGGAACCAGCAAGAAACAGCACCAGGGAGUGACAUCGCUGCAGCUGGGGGGCUUCUGCCCCAGACAGAGGGCUGGCAAGAAGGUGGCGAACCGCAGAGUCGAGAACCCGAAGCCCCUUCCCCGGCCUCCCCUCCUCCGCAGCCCGCAGCUGAUGGGGGGGCCCGGGGCGAAGAGCAAGCGAGGGGCAAGCGCGCCUUGGGCCAAGCACUAAUUUGGCGCGUCGAUACGAUCUCUUCUGUCCUAUCUAGACACGAUCCGUUCUUUUGUGAUCGGGACGACAAGAUCU